rnacentral:rRNA from 1 species
AUGGAAGCCAAGCGGGAGGAGGAGCCGAGGGUGGUGACGCUCCGGCCGGUGGAGGCCACGCCGGAGUCCUUCGCGCCCUUCGGGCAGGUCAUCGCCGCCUCCCCCGACGGCGACCAGUUCGGCCCCCACGACGCCCAGCUCGACCUCAGCCGCGGCAUCCCUAGGUUCUACAUCAUGAGAUUGGAGAGUAGGCCGCUCAAGUUCUCGUCCAUCACCCACCACGCCAGCGUCACGCAGUGCCUGGGCUCCAUCGGCGGCCAGGACUGGUACCUCGGCGUGGCCAAGCCUUCCAUCCUUGACGGGGCGACGGAGCAGAGUGGUGGCGGGACUGCCGUGCAGUCGCGCGCUGGGCAUUUCUAUCUGCCUCCCGAUCCGUCCGAGGUCUGCGUCUUCCGGGUCUCUGGUCCCAAGUUUCUCAAGCUGCACGCCGGGACCUGGCACGCCGGGCCGCUGUUCAAGGCAGACGCCGUGGAUUUCUAUAACCUGGAGCUGAGCAACACCAAUGUUGUUGAUCACACCACGCACUACUUCAAGAAGCAGGACGGCGUAACCUUUGUGAUCGAGGACUGA